GUAAGAAUUUCAUAUUUGUAUGCCAGAUUAUCAAUCUUACUUAGGCGUUCUUGAAUUUCAAUACUGAUUUAUUUGGAAGAAAAGAAAUGGGUUGAGAAAGUGUUUGUCUGGUAGGGCUUUGUGGGCAGUUCCUGUUACAGCAGAUUAAAUCACUGGUGUUAUUCCAGCAGCCUGUCCAUGUAGCAGGAGGCAGGCAGGGCAGCAGUUGUGCUCCUGCUGGUUUUUGUUGCUUUCUGUGUUCUCCCAGCCACAGUCAUCCCCUUUUCUGUUUACCUAUGCUUCUCUUGCAGUUCUAAAUUGAAUUGAAUUCAUAUUCCAGAUUGCUGUAUGCUGGGAGGCUGUGCCACAGUCCUCCUCAAAACUUUUAAAGGUUUGGCAUUUAAAUGCUACAGCUGCACUAGCUGCCCCCUGCUGAUAUUAUCUUAAUAUUGCCACUACUAGAGAAGCCUAAGCAACAGUAGGCAACAACCCCAAAUCAAAUUACAUGGAAGUAUCAAUUAGCUGUGUAAUUAUCAAAAGGAAAAAAACUACACAGUCUGCACUCUUGGUGAGCAGUUAAGCUUUAGUCACACUAAAUCACUCUAAUUUCCUAUUGUGUGGAGUGUGGUUAGCAGAGGAGUGAAUAAAAAGCCUGCCAGAUUUCAGCAGUUAUCUGCUGAAGUGUUGAUUUUUGGCUGGAUAUGGAUACUGGGAUUUCAGACCUAAAACCGUCUCAGAAACUUUUCCCUUCUGUAAUUAUCAGUGUAAAGUAAUUUCAUAUGUGGUUGCUUUAUAAGAGGUUACAUGCAUAACUCAGAUUUGAUUUUGUUAUAUAGGACACAAAAUGGAAAGCUCGUUUGUUAAAAAGGCAAAAAAAAAAAUCCCAACUGAAAUUGAAAACAGACAGAUUUACUGUAUGAAUCCAAGAAAUCAGUUUUAUCAAGCAGUUGGGAGUAAACCCACUUUAAAAUGUUAGAACUUCCUCUGUGUUGGUACACAGAGUAUCUCGAAGACGGUUCAAUUGUAGUUUUAAGAGAUUAUCUUCAACCAUCAUCUCCUAAUAAAUAUCAAAAAGGUCUUAAAAUAAGAAAGCAUCAUUUUCAAUUAAGAUGAUUUAUAACAAUGGAGAAACCUGAUCAAGGGUAUGUAUAGCAGGUCUCUCUCAGUACCAGAAUAAGAAACUAGGAGGUCACAAGGUGUCACCUGAACUGUAAGUCUCUUUCUUUCCUUGUUUCUGACUUGCAUGCCACGGAUGUUCUAACACCUAAUCAUGGGAGACUGUUCUCAUUAUCACAUUAUGUGAAAAAUGUCUGGCAAGAGUCUCGCAGCUUAGAGAUGAAAACCUACCAAUUCUGUGAAACCUCAUGUUCAUAUGAAUUAUAGAGUAAUCUAAUAACCUACACCUUGUUUGAGCUACCUACAGUUUAAUUAGGAUAUCGGCUUAUGAACCACCUGCUACAGAAAAGUUAUCCAAAGUUAAGGCAACAGCAGAUGUGGGGGUUUUUUUAAAUCACCAAGUUUACUGAGCAGCCCAGUAUUACCAUUUUCUUGUUAAGAGAAAACUCGGGCAAUACGAGUGUAUCCCUUCUCAACAGAGUCAUAAGACUUAAAUUACCUCAGAAAUACUUCUACAGCCACUUAAGUAAUUAAGUAGUGCAGCUCAUUCCUGGCUUUAAGUGCAGACAGCACUUUAAGUAUGGACAGCCUCAAGCAUGGCCUGUUCAGAGGGCCUCUUGGUCAGAAAGCCAUGUGAAAGUGUGCGGGUUUUUUGAAGAAUUUUAACGUGACUGCAAGGACUAUCAACACUCACUUCUGAGAGCAGAGGACAGGAAUUGUUUGAAAUCUGGAAGAGAUUUCUCUCAUCUUCAUACAGUACUGCAGUCUAUGUACGCUAAAGGCAAGAUGCCUCAUUCUGAAGCAUCUCUUAGUGUUACACUAUUUAAGAGGAAAUUCAUCCAUUUUAUACCCACACAGCAGCAAAUGCAAGCUAAUUUCCUCACCGCUGUCAAUUAAAGGAUUAAGUUGAGGGUUCAGAUCCAAAUAAUCAUGAGUAGACUGAGAAGGGCAGACAUUUUGUUGAAUUAUUAAGAGAGUCUACUAUAAAAAUAAACCCAAUUGCUAUUUCUGUAUCUCCUCCAUCUAGUCAGGUGUUAGAGUUAAAAGCUAU